rnacentral:lncRNA from 1 species
GCAGGUCUUCAGGAAGGACUGUGCGGCCGCGGUCCAUUUGGUACGGUCUGCAUAGGGAUUCUUGUUGGAAGAGGAUUGCUAUUAAUAUUUGGAGGGAGGCUUUUAGGCUAAGGGAAUUUUGGAAGAGUAGAAGGAUUUUGGAGAAGAGAAACAUUUAUUACUCAAACUUGUUUUUGAUUCUUUUGGCUUGAUAUGUUGUGUGUUGUGUGUUAUACAAAUGCCCAAUGCCAUCCCAUAUUUAUAGGGGAGGCUUGCCAAGCUCUAGAAUGUCUAGAGAGUUCUACCAUUUCCUAGCUAUGUACAUGUGCUAGAAUUCUAUGGAGAAUUCU